UCUUGCUCGACUUCUCCUUGCGGUCUAUGCUAGCUCUGGAUUUUUCUCUUUGAUCUGUGCUUAUUCUAGGCUCUCUCUUCUCUGUGCUUAGCCUAGAUUUCUCCCUCUGAUCUGUGCUCGACCGGGGUCUACAAUCUGUACUGCUUCGAGGUUUAUCUAUUUGGUUUAUGCUAAGAGCAGAUACAUUUCUAAAACUAGUUGAUUUCUCAAUAGCUGAUAUG
rnacentral:misc_RNA from 1 species